rnacentral:rRNA from 1 species
AUGAAGAGGUUGCACAAUCAACCAAUGCAGGUUCAUCUGGUCCCAAACCAAAAAAAGGCCAAACCAAAUCCUUGUGCGGAAGACAGGUUGCAUGCCACCAUACUUGCAUCUAGUGAAAGAAUUGCUAUUGCCAUAGAAAAGAGUUCUAGCACCGAGAACAAUGCCAUAGAUGGUCUUUGGGAGAGCAUGAAAGUACUUCCUGGGUUCAGUUUGGAUUACCUUGCUCAUUACUAUGCAUAUUUGGUUGACAAUCCUCGUGUUGCUAUGGCAUUCAAGGUGUCGGAAGAGGAUCAAAAGAAGGUUUGGGUUUCUAGUAACAAUGGGUUGUAUGGAUUAGCUCUUUUGACAACCAAGACAAUAACUAUGGGUUGUAUAGCUAUUAAGUUCUAG